rnacentral:rRNA from 1 species
UAGGGAAUAUUGGGCAAUGGAGGGAACUCUGACCCAGCCAUGCCGCGUGCAGGAUGAAGGCGUUAUGCGUUGUAAACUGCUUUUUAUAUAGGAAGAAAUAGUCCUUGCGAGGAAAGUUGACGGUACUAUAUGAAUAAGCACCGGCUAACUCCGUGCCAGCAGCCGCGGUAAUACGGAGGGUGCAAGCGUUGUUCGGAUUUAUUGGGUUUAAAGGGUGCGUAGGCGGUUUAUUAAGUCAGUGGUGAAAGACGGUCGCUCAACGAUUGCAGUGCCAUUGAUACUGGUAGACUUGAGUAUGAUUGAGGUAGCUGGAAUGGAUAGUGUAGCGGUGAAAUGCAUAGAUAUUAUCCAGAACACCAAUUGCGUAGGCAAGUUACUAAGUCAUAACUGACGCUGAGGCACGAAAGUGUGGGUAUCAAACAGGAUUAGAUACCCCCGUAGUCCCUGAGCGGGCUGGCAAGGCGCAU